rnacentral:rRNA from 1 species
CCUACGGGUGGCAGCAGUGGGGAAUAUUGGACAAUGGGCGCAAGCCUGAUCCAGCCAUGCCGCGUGUGUGAAGAAGGCCUUCGGGUUGUAAAGCACUUUCAGUGGGGAAGAAAGCCUUGGGGCUAAUACCCUCGAGGAAGGACAUCACCCACAGAAGAAGCACCGGCUAACUCCGUGCCAGCAGCCGCGGUAAUACGGAGGGUGCGAGCGUUAAUCGGAAUUACUGGGCGUAAAGCGCGCGUAGGCGGUCUGAUAAGCCGGUUGUGAAAGCCCCGGGCUCAACCUGGGAACGGCAUCCGGAACUGUCAGGCUAGAGUGCAGGAGAGGAAGGUAGAAUUCCCGGUGUAGCGGUGAAAUGCGUAGAGAUCGGGAGGAAUACCAGUGGCGAAGGCGGCCUUCUGGACUGACACUGACGCUGAGGUGCGAAAGCGUGGGUAGCAAACAGGAUUAGAUACCCCAGUAGUC